CUUGAACUUAUCUUAACUAUUCCUUUCAUUGACUUGGUACUUUCAGAGCAAUUGGGUAUUAUCUAAUACGUCUUCACUAGUCAUUUUUCAGAAUGGGUAAAAUAUUUAUGGGGAUGAAGAUGUUGCCCAACUCAUUAUAGGCCCACCUAGCCAAAGUUUUGUGGUAGUCGUCCAAAUACUAAUCCCAAUUGCUGGGGAGAUGCCAUGGAACCUAAUGAAGAUUGUCCCCUAUGAAUAUUUUUUUAUUACAUAUUAAUUAUAAUAAAACAAUUUAAAAAAAACUUUUACGAACUUGUACCGUGUCUCUAAAGCAAAGUGUGACGUAUGUAGGCUACGCCUGGUUUGCGCACAAAUCACAUGUGAUUUAUUGUACACCUUUGCAUUGCUGCAAGUUAUUGCCUCUAAGUUUCUGUAAAUAUGUCAACGCACACGAUGACUCGAGGUACAAUAUCUGCCAUCAAGCGGAGUGAAAACAUCACAGUGGACAAUUUGGCAGAGAUUUUCAAGAUCACGCAAUCAAGUCUUUACUUGACACAUCGGAAUGGAGUGUCUGUAUUCCCACUAGAAGCUGGAUUUUUCAGCUCUCUUGACCUGGAUGACGGGGUCACCUUCCAGGUGAUGGGUGAUGAUGUACCGGGGCCAUUACCAAGCACCAACUCAACCCCCGUCUAUUCAAUCCCUGGACCAAAUAUACCUUGUUUCUCAUUUUCUCAAACUGCAUUAGCUACACAUUCAUCGUCUCCUGCUACAAACCCCAGAAUCUACCAGAGGACAAUCUUUAUUGGGCAACUGGAGGGGGAGAGGAUUGUUACGGAAAAAUCUCAUUCUUCAAAUUCAAUUUGAAGAAUCAGAGGCCUGUGUGAAAAUAAUAACCAACAAAGUCAAAGAGGCUGUGGACACACAAGAAGAUGUCUUCCUAACUGACAGUCAGGGGAAUCUGCUUCUUGACACCUCUGGCACUAAAGGAUCAAUUUAUUGGAAACAGAGUUCAAGUAAGGUUUUUGCUGUUAAAGAAGAUAUCCUUGCUGAAAUAGGGAGGAGGAAGAGAAGAAAAGUCAGGU